UCGCGCCCCAUUUUUUUUUGGAAAAAUAAAAUGAUUGUUUUUGUGAUUUUAUUGGUUUGGAAAAAGUGAAUUUUUUGAUAAAAAUAAAAAUGGGUCUAAAUGGGACUUUUGAAAAUGCGACGAUUUGACCCAAGAAAAAUAGUUCAAAAAGGGUUUUUUAUAUGAAAAAUGGAGUCGCCACUUGGUAUAGAGUUAGGGUGUACCAAGUCACCCAAAAAGUGAAAUUUUUUUAAGGAAAAAAAAAGUAAGAAACCCUUUUGAACGACUCCUAGUCCACGCAAACAAAGAAAAAGGUUCGGGAGUCACAUUUGACGAAGGGGAAGGCAAGGAUAAAAAUCCAAGGCACCCCUUCGACCUAACCAAGGCUAGUUGCGUGAUUUAACCCUUAUUUUCCUAAAUUUUUCUACCCAAAGUAUGUAUUUGCAAUUUGGACAAAGACUAAUGAAUGAGAAAUGCAAUCCUAAAUCUAAGAAAUGUCUCUUAUGAGGCUUGUGGUCCCAUUCACAUGAAUUGUGAAGGCCAAUAAGAAAGACCUCAUAGAAAAUCGUGAAUGAUGCAAAUGAGGACUCAAAUAAGAGUGUAAGUGUGCAAAGUGUAGAGAAGGGCAUGUGUGCAAUUUGAAAGUGUUUGUGUGCAAAUGAAUGAAAAUAUAAGUGCUCGUGUGCAAGUGAACAAAAAU
rnacentral:lncRNA from 1 species